UCAAUUAACACAUCUAACCUACUCAUUU
rnacentral:piRNA from 1 species